CCACAAGUUAUGCCGUGGUUGGUAUUUCUAUUUAUUAUGGAUCCCCUUAAGCUACUCUUCCUGGGGUCCAAACACACCAAAGCACCCACAUUAUAUGUAAAAACCAAAGAUAAAACAGUGAACUACGUUUGUACUGAAUGAACUAAAGAUUAAACAGUACAUCAUAUAACAUCUCUACACCACCACACAUCCACAACAUGUUCAAUACAACAAUAUCACAAUGUGAAUCUAUGCAUGCAUGUGUGAGUGAUGAAGUUUGUGACUCAUCCUUUCAGGUGUGUGUGUGAUGUGUUUUCAGUGAGGACCGCAUCAAGAACGGCUGUAAGAAGAUUCUGAAGAGCCGACAGGGCAGCACACAGGGACGACUGGACACCUUCUUCACCAUCACCGGGUCUCUGUCAUCAAAACGCAAGGAACCUGAGACAAAGGGAUCCAACAAGAAGAAGCAGAAGACCGGUGCAACCCCAGGCAAAUAGACUACAAACAGGAAGUGAAGCAAGUAUAGCAGAAGUUAGUGCAGGAGUGUAUGAAUCACUUAGCUACAAUUACUUAGCUACAAUUAUAGUGCGUCUGAUCAAGUCUGUUUUUCAUGUUGAACUAGGCAAGUUUUAUGAAUGUUUAUUCUUUUGAAUAAAGUUUUUUU